UACGGAGGAUGCGAGCGUUAUCCGGAUUUAUUGGGUUUAAAGGGUGCGUAGGCGGGCUUAUAAGUCAGCUGUGAAAGUUUGCGGCUCAACCGUAAAAUUGCAGUUGAUACUGUAAGCCUUGAGUGCAUGUGAGGUGGGCGGAAUUCGUGGUGUAGCGGUGAAAUGCUUAGAUAUCGUAAGGAAGACCAGUGGCGAAGGCGAGUCUCUGGACAGUUACUGACACUGAGGCACGAAGGCCAGGGGAGCAAACGGG
rnacentral:rRNA from 1 species